GAUGCAAGCGUUGUCCGGAUUUAUUGGGCGUAAAGAGAACGUAGGCGGCCGGUCGCAUCGGCGGUGAAAGCCCCCCGCUCAACGGGGGAGGGUCCGUCGAGAUGGAUCGGCUGGAGGCAGGGAGAGGGCGGUGGAAUUCCGGGUGUAGUGGUGAAAUGCGUAGAGAUCCGGAGGAACACCAGUGGCGAAGGCGGCCGCCUGGACCUGACCUGACGCUGAGGCGCGAAGGCGUGGGGAGCGAAC
rnacentral:rRNA from 1 species